rnacentral:rRNA from 1 species
GAUGAACGCUAGCGGCAGGCCUAAUACAUGCAAGUCGAGGGGUAGUGGGAGCUUGCUUCCAUGAGACCGGCGCACGGGUGCGUAACGCGUAUGCAACCUACCUUCACCUGGGGGAUAGCCCGGAGAAAUCCGGAUUAAUACCGCAUAAAACCACAGUACCGCAUGGUACAAUGGUCAAACAUUCAUGGGGAGAAGAUGGG